GACGAACGCUGGCGGCGUGCUUAACACAUGCAAGUCGAGCGAACAGACCUGGUGUCUGUUCUUCUGUCCUUAUCGGCGAAUGGCUGACUAAUACGUGGCUCAUCUAUCUACUUGCCCCGGCUAACUUCUGGAAACCGGAGCUAAUAUCGGAUUAUCUAUUGAACUGCAUGGUUCAAUAGUGUAUGACGGUUUUGUUGUUACUUAUUGAUGGUUACGUGCCGCCUUAUCUAGUUGGUAAGGUAAUGGUUUACUAACGCAACGAUGCGUAGUCGACCUGCGAGGGAGAGCGGGCACACUGGAACUGAGACACGGUCCAGACUCCGACGGAAAGCAGCAGUAGGAAAUCUGCCGCAAUGAGCGAAAGCUUGACGGAGCAGCGCCGCGGGAGUGAUGAAGAGCUUCGGAUCGGAAAACUCAGUUAUUAGGGAAGAACAAGAAUGUAAGUAACUGUACGCGUCUUGACGGUACCUAAUCAAAAAGCCACGGCUAACUACGUG
rnacentral:rRNA from 1 species